rnacentral:tRNA from 1 species
GGGGAUAUAGUUUAACUUUGGUAAAACAUAUGUUUUGCAUACAUAAAAUUAUUGGUUCGAAUCCAAUUAUCUCCA